GAUGAACGCUGGCGGCGUGCUUAACACAUGCAAGUCGAACGGAAAGGCCCAAGCUUGCUUGGGUACUCGAGUGGCGAACGGGUGAGUAACACGUGGGUGAUCUGCCCUGCACUUCGGGAUAAGCCUGGGAAACUGUGUCUAAUACCGGAUAGGACCACAUUUUGGAUGGUGUGGUGGAAAGUUUUUCGGUGUGGGAUGAGCUCGCGGCCUAUCAGCUUGUUGGUGGGGUAAUGGCCUACCAAGGCGUCGACGGGUAGCCGGCCUGAGAGGGUGUACGGCCACAUUGGGACUGAGAUACGGCCCAGACUCCUACGGGAGGCAGCAGUGGGGAAUAUUGCACAAUGGGCGCAAGCCUGAUGCAGCGACGCCGCGUGGGGGAUGACGGCCUUCGGGUUGUAAACUCCUUUCGCUAGGGACGAAGCGCAAGUGACGGUACCUGGAGAAGAAGCACCGGCUAACUACGUG
rnacentral:rRNA from 1 species